AAGUAAAUAUUUAUUAAUAUAAGUUUGUUUAUAGAUAGUUUAAGAAAGUAAUUGUAUAAAUUUAUAGUUUUAGUAUAGACGUGUGAAUAAAUUUUUGUAAUAAUAGUUAAUUAGUACCGUAGGGGAAGAUUGAAAUAUAUGAAAAUAUAUUUAAUGAAAAGCAGAUUGAUGGUUGUACCUUGUGUAUCAGGGUUUAUUAAAUUGUUGAUAUAGAUUUAUUAUUCCCGAAUUAAGUGGAGCUAAUAUGUUAUUUUAAUUAAUGUUGCAUAAUUAUUAAUAAUAACAUAUUUGAAGUGAAAUGUUUCCGUUACUUAGGGUAUCUGGUUUUUUAAGAAAUAAAUUUAAUUUAGUUUAAGUUUUGUAUUUAUUUUAUUUAUAAAUUGAAUUAUAAAAUUUAAAUAAUAAUCUUGGGGAUAAGCUCUGGAUUAUAAAUUAAAAUUUUUUUAAGAUUUAUUUAAUUGUAGGCUUUAAAUUAGCUAUCAGUUGAGAAAUUGUUAUAAAUUAUUAUAUUUAAGGAUGAUUUUAAAAAGGUUUAAUUUGUUUAUUAAAAUGACCUAUAGAAUAACUUUAUAGGUGUAAUUAUGAUAAAAUUAGUAUAUUUAAAUUUGCUUAGAGUUUUAUUUUAUUAAUUUAUAUAAAGGAAUUCGGCAAAAUUUGUGUUCGCCUGUUUAACAAAAACAUGUCUUUUUGAGGUUUAUUUAAAGUCGGGCCUGCCCACUGAAUUUUAUUGAAUGGCCGCGGUAUCUUGACCGUGCAAAGGUAGCAUAAUCAUUAGUCUUUUAAUUGAAGGCUGGAAUGAAUGGUUUGACGAAACAUAAGCUGUCUCUGUAUAAUGAAUAGAAUUUGUCUUUUUAGUUAAAAGACUUAAAUGACGAUAAGGGACGAGAAGACCCUAUAGAGCUUUAUAUAAAUAUAUGUUAUUUAAAUUUUAGUUGUUUUGUUAUUUAUUAUAUAUUUAUAUUAUGUUGGGGUGACAUAAAGAUAAGUUUAACUCUUUAUUUUUAUAAACAUAGAUUUAUGGAUAUUUGAUCCGGUAUUAUUGAUUAAAAGAUAAAGUUACCUUAGGGAUAACAGCGUAAUCUUUCUUGAGAGUUCAUAUCGAAAGAGGGGUUUGCGACCUCGAUGUUGGAUUAAGAAAAUGAUUAAAUGUAGCAGUUUAAUUAAUAGGUCUGUUCGACCUUUAAAUUCUUACAUGAUCUGAGUUCAGACCGGCGUGAGCCAGGUCGGUUUCUAUCUUUGUUUAAAUAAAAUAUUUUAGUACGAAAGGACCAAAUAUGAGAAAUAAUUUUUUAAUGUGGAAUUUUAUUAAAUUUA
rnacentral:rRNA from 1 species